UACUACAGCUAGCUUUCUGCAACUCUCACACGGUCGCCCACUCAAUCUAAGCAGGGCUGCGGCUGGUCAGUACCUGGAUGGGAGACCACAUGGGAAAGCUCAGUUGCUGCCGGAA
rnacentral:rRNA from 1 species